rnacentral:rRNA from 1 species
GAUGAACGCUGGCGGCGUGCCUAAUACAUGCAAGUCGAGCGAACAGAUGAGGAGCCUGCUCCUCUGACGUUAGCGGCGGACGGGUGAGUAACACGUGGAUAACCUACCUAUAAGACUGGGAUAACUUCGGGAAACCGGAGCUAAUACCGGAUAAUAUAUUGAACCGCAUGGUUCAAUAGUGAAAGACGGUUUUGCUGUCACUUAUAGAUGGAUCCGCGCCGCAUUAGCUAGUUGGUAAGGUAACGGCUUACCAAGGCAACGAUGCGUAGCCGACCUGAGAGGGUGAUCGGCCACACUGGAACUGAGACACGGUCCAGACUCCUACGGGAGGCAGCAGUAGGGAAUCUUCCGCAAUGGGCGAAAGCCUGACGGAGCAACGCCGCGUGAGUGAUGAAGGUCUUCGGAUCGUAAAACUCUGUUAUUAGGGAAGAACAAAUGUGUAAGUAACUAUGCACGUCUUGACGGUACCUAAUCAGAAAGCCACGGCUAACUACGUG